AGGAAAGGAAAAACUCCCAAGGGAAGUGACUCUGCUGCUACUGGUUCCUGGAAACUUAGUGUGAAUGUAGCCAUAUCAUCUAUUUUCACUGACGAUUUCGAGUCAUAUUAUCCCUCUUGUACUCCUCCUGGAAGCCAUCUGUGUCAGCAGCUCAUGGAAUAAUUUCUAAAACACCAUGUAUUAGAACGCAAAGCAAACUCAAUAAAUACAGGAAUAUUGAAGUAAUAGUCCAUAUUCUAUCAGACCACUAUAAAAACCUUUAUAAUCCACUAAACUGGAAAAUCUAAAAGAUGUGGACAAAUUUCUAGACACAUGCAAUUUACCAAAAUAAAGACAAAAUGAAAUAAAUAAUUUAAAAAGAUCAAGAACUAGGGAUGAGAUUGAAGCAACAAUAGUCUUCCAAGAAAAGAAAGUCCAGGUCCAGAUGGAUUCACACAGAAUUCUCCACCACAGUCACAGAGACUAGCACCAACACUCAUCAGAUGAUCCCACUAAGGAAAGGAAGGAAACCAGCAUUACCCGGACUCCAAAACUAGACGACGACUCAGGAGCAGCAAUAACAAACCACAGAGCAGCCUCCCUGACGAGCGGACACGACGUUCUCAGAGUCACACCGAAUUUAAGACCCUGUAAAAAAGACUACUGGGUGGUGGAACUUUCCGUGGCUUGCUUUUGCUCACCGGGUUUUUCAUUCUCUGCUUCAACUUGGCUGUUCCUUAGUUUUCUUCUAUGUCCAUGCUCAAUGCAGUUUUCAUAUCCAGUGCUGUCCUUGUCAUUUUCCUCGGCCAUUUUUGUGUGCUUUCUUGGACUUCAGUCAUUUAUCCUGAUCCUCUCUAAGUGCAUUCGGGCUUUUACUUAUUUCUGACUUUAUAUGCUUUGAACACGUUGACCAUGCUUACAAUUGUUCUUUUGAAUUCCGUGUAUAUUUCAUGUAAGUUGCUGUCUUUAGGGGACAUUGCCAUGGAGUUGGUGAUUUGAGGGGGACAGAAGUCUGUGGUCAUGACAUCCAUCUCAAUGUAUUUGUCAGCCAACAUUUGUUUUUAUUCAUUUGUAGGCAACGCUGCUUCCAGACAUCAUAAGAAUUUAAUACCUUAAAUUCCCACCAGGUGGCGCUCCAAGGUUACCAAGAGCAGGUUAUACUUGCUGAAGUGCGAGGCAGGGCAGUGCGUGCCGUGGUGUAAAGGAGGGCUGG
rnacentral:lncRNA from 1 species